rnacentral:rRNA from 1 species
UGAGGAAUAUUGGUCAAUGGACGGAAGUCUGAACCAGCCAUGCCGCGUGAAGGAUGAAGGCGUUCUGCGUUGUAAACUUCUUUUAUCUGGGAAGAAACCACAGAUUUCUAUUUGUGUUGACGGUACCAGAGGAAUAAGCACCGGCUAACUCCGUGCCAGCAGCCGCGGUAAUACGGAGGGUGCGAGCGUUAUCCGGAUUUACUGGGUUUAAAGGGUGCGUAGGCGGACUAAUAAGUCAGUGGUGAAAGCCUGCAGCUUAACUGCAGAAUUGCCAUUGAUACUGUUAGUCUUGAGUACAGUUGAGGUAGGCGGAAUGUGUCAUGUAGCGGUGAAAUGCUUAGAUAUGACACAGAACACCGAUUGCGAAGGCAGCUUGCUAAGCUGUAACUGACGCUGAGGCACGAAAGCGUGGGGAGCAAAC